UGCGUAGGCGGACUAAUAAGUCAGUGGUGAAAUCUUUCGGCUCAACCGGGAAACUGCCAUUGAUACUGUUAGUCUUGAGUUCGGUUGAGGUAGGCGGAAUGUGUAAUGUAGCGGUGAAAUGCUUAGAUAUUACACAGAACACCAAUUGCGUAGGCAGCUUACUAGACCGACACUGACGCUGGGGCACGAAAGCGUGGGGAGCGAACAGGAUUAGAUACCCUGGUAGUCC
rnacentral:rRNA from 1 species